GACGACGCUGGCGGCGUGCCUAACACAUGCAAGUCGAGCGGAGUCGAUCGACGGAAGCCUUCGGGCGGAAGAUGGUUGACUUAGCGGCGGAUGGGUGAGUAACGCGUGGGCAACCUGCCUCGAAGACCGGGAUAACAGUCCGAAAGGGCUGCUAAUACCGGAUGUGGUCAAGGAUCCGCAUGGAUUUUGAUUAAAGGGAAACCCGUUUCGAGAUGGGCCCGCGUCCUAUCAGCUAGUUGGUGAGGUAAAAGCUCACCAAGGCGACGACGGGUAGCCGGCCUGAGAGGGUGACCGGCCACACUGGAACUGAGACACGGUCCAGACUCCUACGGGGGGCAGCAGUGGGGAAUCUUCCACAAUGGGCGAAAGCCUGAUGGAGCGACGCCGCGUGAGCGAAGAAGGCCUUCGGGUUGUAAAGCUCUGUCUGGAGGGACGAAGGAAGUGACGGUACCUCCGGAGGAAGCCACGGCUAACUACGUG
rnacentral:rRNA from 1 species